rnacentral:rRNA from 1 species
UUGGAGGGCAAGUCUGGUGCCAGCAGCCGCGGUAAUUCCAGCUCCAAUAGCGUAUAUUAAAGUUGUUGCAGUUAAAAAGCUCGUAGUUGAACUUCGGGGUUCACCCAUUGGUCAGGCUUAAUUGUCUGUACUGGUGAGAUGAGUCUCUACCUUCUGAGGAACUUUCAUGCCAUUUGUUUGGUGUGAUUGGAAAUCAGGACUGUUACUUUGAGAAAAUUAGAGUGUUUAAAGCAGGCUAACGUCUGAAUACAUUAGCAUGGAAUAAUGAAAUAGGACGGAUUGAUUCUAUUUCGUUGGUUUCUAGGGUCACCGUAAUGAUUAAUAGGGAUAGUUGGGGGCAUUAGUAUUCAAUUGUCAGAGGUGAAAUUCUUGGAUUUAUUGAAGACUAACUACUGCGAAAGCAUUUGCCAAGGAUGUUUUCAUUAAUCAAGAACGAAAGUUAGGGGAUCGAGGACGAUCAGAUACCGUCGUAGUCUUAACCAUAAACUAUGCCGACUAGGGAUCGGACGCAGUUAAUUUUAUAAUGACGUGUUCGGCACCUUACGGGAAACCAAAG